rnacentral:rRNA from 1 species
AUUGAACGCUGGCGGCAUGCCUUACACAUGCAAGUCGAACGGUAACAGGUCUUCGGAUGCUGACGAGUGGCGAACGGGUGAGUAAUACAUCGGAACGUGCCCGAUCGUGGGGGAUAACGAAGCGAAAGCUUUGCUAAUACCGCAUACGAUCUAAGGAUGAAAGCAGGGGACCGCAAGGCCUUGCGCGAACGGAGCGGCCGAUGGCAGAUUAGGUAGUUGGUAGGAUAAAAGCUUACCAAGCCGACGAUCUGUAGCUGGUCUGAGUGGACGACCAGCCACACUGGGACAGAGACACGGCCCAGACUCCUACGGGAGGCAGCAGUGGGGAAUUUUGGACAAUGGGCGAAAGCCUGAUCCAGCCAUGCCGCGUGCAGGAUGAAGGCCUUCGGGCUGUAAACUGCUUUUGUACGGAACGAAAAGACUCUGGUUAAUACCUGGGGUCCAUGACGGUACCGUAAGAAUAAGCACCGGCUAACUACGUGCCAGCCGCCGCAGUAA